GGACUACUGGGGUUUCUAAUCCCAUUUGAUCCCCAUACUUUCGUACCUCAAUGUCAGUAUAAUAUGAUCACUGUCUUCACCUUUGAUAUUCCCAAUUAUCUUUACGUAUUUAAACACUAAACAAUUAGUUCUUGUGACCUCUAAAAUACUCUAGCAAAAUAGUAUAGAAAAAAGCAUAAUCUUACACAUUUUUAAAACUUAAAUUACCAUCUACAUACCCUUAACGCCCAGUCAUGAGGAAUAACACUUGCACCAAUCGUAUUACCGCGGCGGCUGGCAC
rnacentral:rRNA from 1 species